ACACAUCUCUAGUUUCCAAAUCCUCAACUGCGAUAUAUUCGGACAACACCAUUCACUUGUCUAUUUCCACUAACCGUAGAUAAGGGAUUCAUGACUUAAAUAACUCUUACUUCUAUCCAAAGAAGCUAAAAUUAACUUCUUGCAUUCCAUAUCUGAUUUCAACUCUCCAAGUAUAUAUAGAUUUUCUACAUUCCACAAUUCACUAGUAUGAAUCACUUGCUCAAAAUAAUCUCAAUCCACGAAAAUAUCUCAAAAACUUAUGUACCUAUAGCAAUAGAUUACCUACCAAAGAAAACAAGAAAAUUGUAAAUCACUCAACUGCCGAACUUAACGCAAGAAAAUGCAUUUCAACUUCUCAUACUGCACCAGAUUCUAGAACCUCAAACUAUCCUCAAUACACACAAGUCUACUCCUCAGACUUCCUACUAUUGUGAUCCCAAGUAUUUACCAAAAAUAAAUCCUGCUAACCACAACAUCAGGUAACAUGUUCCUAGGAGAACAUAAUUUUACUCCUAAUAACCUUGCACAUGGUCUGCAUAAAUAAUCCCCAAGUACUUACAGACUAGUUUUGGAAGCCCCAUCUCUCAUGCAUAUCUCUGCUAUAAAAGUUUCCCCAAAACUAUUAAAUGUCUCUUCAAAGCAACAAUUCUCCAUACCUAGUUUACUAAGUGAUCGGCCGAAACUACAUCUCAAAGUAUGUACAUUUUGAUCUAUUCUAUAACAUCAACAAUGACCUAGAACCUCCGAGUCUACUUUCCAUUACCAAAAUCCUAUGCAAUUUACCUGAUCAUAAUCCAAAAUUGCACAUCUUUCACUUGAUCACCAACGAAUAAUUGCUAAUCUUAUAGAAACUAUCUUAACCAACAAAGCCUAGUAAAGCCUAACUCAUGUAUACAAUAGUAUGUAAUUUAUGCUUUAUAUACCAUUCACUUGUCUAUUUCCACUAACCGUAGACAAGGGAUUCAUGAUUUAAAUAACUUACUUCUGUCCAAAUAUGCUAAAAUUAACUCCUUGCAUUCCAUAUCUGAUCUCAACUCUCCAAGUAUAGACUUUCUUUCUUCCACAAUUCCCUCCUAUGAAUCACUUGCUCAAAAUAAUCUCAAUCCUCGAAAAUAUCUCCAAAAAACUUUUCUACCUAUUAUACCAAGGAAAACAUGAAAAUUGUAAAUCUCUCAACUCAGCCAAAUGAUUACGGUCGAACAUAACGCACGCAAAAGCAUUUCAUCUUCUCAUACUGCACCAGAUUCUAAAACCUCAAACUAUCCUCAACACGCCCCAAGUCUACUCCUCAAACUUCCUACUAUUCUGAUCCCAAGUAUUUACCAAAAAUAAAGCCUGCUUACCACAAAAUCUGGUAACAUGUUCCAAGGAGAACCUAAUUUUACUCCUAAUAACCUUGCACCUGGUCUAUAUAAAUAAUCCCCAAGUACUUACAGACUAGUUGUUGAAGCCCCAUUUCUCAUGCAUAUCUCUGCUAUAAAANNNNN
rnacentral:lncRNA from 1 species